UGAGGAAUUUUGCGCAAUGGGGGCAACCCUGACGCAGCGACGCCGCGUGGAUGAAGAAGGCCUUCGGGUUGUAAAAUCCUGUCAGUGGGAACGAUAAUGACGGUACCCGCUGAGGAAGCUCCGGCUGACUCCGUGCCAGCAGCCGCGGUAAGACGGAGGGAGCAAGCGUUGUCCGGAAUCACUGGGCGUAAAGAGCUCGUAGGCGGGGUAUUAAGGCUGGAAGUAAAUCCUGGAGCUUAACUCCAGGGUCAUUCCGGAUACUGGUACUCUUGAGGACGGCAGGGGAAAGGGGAAUUCCAGGUGUAGCGGUGAAAUGCGUAGAUAUCUGGAGGAACAUCUGUGGCGAAGGCGCCUUUCUGGGCCGAUCCUGACGCUGAGGAGCGAAAGCCAGGGGAGCGAACG
rnacentral:rRNA from 1 species